rnacentral:tRNA from 1 species
GCGGGUGUGGCGGAACUGGUAGACGCGUAGGAUUCAAAAUCCUAUUUCCUAGGAAGUGCCGGUUCGAUUCCGGCCACCCGUACCA